rnacentral:rRNA from 1 species
GGCAUGCAAGUCGAACGAGGACAGAGCGUUGGGGCUCUUAGUAGAGUGGCGAACGGGUGAGUAAUACAUGGGCAACCUGCGUGCGAGUUUGGGAUAACUCCCCGAAAGGGGGGCUAAUACCGGAUGGUAUUCCGAGGCCGCAUGGUUUCGGAAUUAAAGCGGGGGACCUUCGGGCCUCGCGCUCGCAGAGGGGCUCAUGCCCUAUUAGCUUGUUGGUGAGGUAACGGCUCACCAAGGCUACGAUGGGUAGCCGGCCUUGGAGGGUGACCGGUCACACUGGGACUGAGACACUGCCCAGACUCCUACGGGAGGCUGCAGUCGAGAAUCUUCUGCAAUGGUCGAAAGACUGACAGAGCGACGCCGCGUGGGGGAAGAAGGCUUUCGAGUUGUAAACCCCUGUCACGGGUUAAGAGGGGUGCAUCGGUUAAUAACUGGUGCUUCCGGACAAAGGCCCGAGAGGAAGUCACGGCUAACUCCGUGCCAGCAGCCGCGGUAAUUCGGAGGUGACUAGCGUUGUUCGGAUCCAUUGGGCGUAAAGCGCGCGCAGGCGGUGGCGUAAGUCGGAAGUGAAAGCCCCCGGCUCAACCGGGGAAUUGCUUCCGAUACUGCGUCACUUGAGUGUGGGAGGGGUGAGUGGAACUCCUGGUGGAGCGGUGAAAUGCGUAGAUAUCAGGAGGAACGCCGGAGGCGAAAGCGACUCACUGGCCCAUGUCUGACGCUGAGGCGCGAAAGCUAGGGUAGCGAAAGGGAUUAGAUACCCCUGUAGUCCUAGCCGUAAACGAUGGGCACUAAGUAGAGGGGUUUU